rnacentral:rRNA from 1 species
AUUGAACGCUGGCGGCAGGCUUAACACAUGCAAGUCGAGCGGGGGAAGGUAGCUUGCUACUGGACCUAGCGGCGGACGGGUGAGUAAUGCUUAGGAAUCUGCCUAUUAGUGGGGGACAACAUCUCGAAAGGGAUGCUAAUACCGCAUACGUCCUACGGGAGAAAGCAGGGGAUCUUCGGACCUUGCGCUAAUAGAUGAGCCUAAGUCGGAUUAGCUAGUUGGUGGGGUAAAGGCCUACCAAGGCGACGAUCUGUAGCGGGUCUGAGAGGAUGAUCCGCCACACUGGGACUGAGACACGGCCCAGACUCCUACGGGAGGCAGCAGUGGGGAAUAUUGGACAAUGGGGGGAACCCUGAUCCAGCCAUGCCGCGUGUGUGAAGAAGGCCUUAUGGUUGUAAAGCACUUUAAGCGAGGAGGAGGCUACUUUAGUUAAUACCUAGAGAUAGUGGACGUUACUCGCAGAAUAAGCACCGGCUAACUCUGUGCCAGCAGCCGCGGUAAUACAGAGGGUGCGAGCGUUAAUCGGAUUUACUGGGCGUAAAGCGUGCGUAGGCGGCUUAUUAAGUCGGAUGUGAAACCCCCGAGCUUAACUUGGGAAUUGCAUUCGAUACUGGUGAGCUAGAGUAUGGGAGAGGAUGGUAGAAUUCCAGGUGUAGCGGUGAAAUGCGUAGAGAUCUGGAGGAAUACCGAUGGC